GAUGAACGCUAGCGGCAGGCUUAACACAUGCAAGUCGAGGGGCAGCACGGACUUCGGUCUGGUGGCGACCGGCAAACGGGUGCGGAACACGUACACAAUCUACCUUUAUCUGGGGUAUAGCCCGAAGAAAUUCGGAUUAAUCCCCCAUAAUAUAUUAGAGUGGCAUCACUUCGAUAUUAAAACUCCGGUGGAUAAAGAUGAGUGUGCGUCCCAUUAGCUAGUUGGUAGGGUAACGGCCUACCAAGGCAACGAUGGGUAGCUGGUGUGAGAGCACGACCAGCCGCACGGGCACUGAGACACGGGCCCGACUCCUACGGGAGGCAGCAGUGAGGAAUAUUGGUCAAUGGACGCAAGUCUGAACCAGCCAUGCCGCGUGAAGGAUGAAGGCCUUCUGGGUUGUAAACUUCUUUUAUUGGGGAAGAAAAUUACGGUUUCUACUGUAACCGACGGUACCCAAGGAAUAAGCACCGGCUAACUCCGUGCCAGCCGCCGCGGUAA
rnacentral:rRNA from 1 species